rnacentral:SRP_RNA from 1 species
GUUGUGGUGGUGGUAUCGUCAUGUAAUCCCUGCUACUGGGAGACUGAGGUUAGAGGUUCUCUUGAGCACAGGAGUUCGAGCUGCAGUGGUUAAGCCAACUGAGUGGCUGCACUAAAUUUGGCAUUAGUAUAGUUAACCCCCAGGAAUGAGGGGCCAAUAAGUUGCCUAAGGAGGGAUGAACUGCCUGUCCUAGGUGGAAAACCAGAGUAGGUCAAAGCUCCCAUGCUGAGUGGUACUAGGCCUAUGAGUAGCCCCUGCCUUUCCAGCCUGGGAGAGAUUAGGAGAAUCAGUCUCC